rnacentral:lncRNA from 1 species
AAGCACGCCAGUGAUUCUCUGAGCCGGUCUUUCUUUCCAACGCCUCGGGAAACUGGUCGAGAUAGAUGAUAGCACCUUUUUUUCCUCUUCUUUACCGGGAAGGCUAUCUUAUCUUCUUCCGCAAGCGCCUUCACCUCCCGCCCGGCCCGGAAAUAGAACCCAGCCCCCCUUCUGAUCCAUUCAUUUCUGCAAGUAGGCGGGAUCCAGAGCAAAGCCCCCCUCCUAUGUUG